CUCACAUCGCUCCUCUCAACAACCUCGCAAACCCGUAUCUGAGAGCAAAGACUUGAAACUUAGCAAAGAUUUAGCUGUGGAAAUGGACUCGACGAUGCCCAUUUGCUUGUAAACCAACUCUAAGAAAGUGAUGCGACUGCUGUAAAUUUUGAAAGACAUUGUUUUUAUGCCCACGUAAGUUCAAUGUGGCAGAUUUGAACUCUCCAAAUGCUUUUAAUUUGUGAAUUGUCAUUGUUCGAGACUUUGAGUAGAUAUAACUUAUAGAAGUUGUAUUUAUCACCCAAGACCCAAGUGCUUGGUACGUGUAUCCAUAUGCCUAUAUUUCUUGGUAUCAAAACUCAUAGAAGUUGUAUUAAUAGUCUGCUUUUUUUCCAACUUCUAAGUUCUAAGUUGUAAUUGGGAAUGAUUUUGGACUUUUGAUAUAGUCCCUCAUUCCCUACACUUUGUAUUUUCCGUCUUUUUAUUUCAAUAAAUUGAA